UAUAAUAAUAAUAUAUAUAUGUAUGUAUGUAUGUAUGUAUAAGUAUAUGAUACAGAUAUGUACACAUACAUAUAGAUACCGAAUCUGCUCUAUGACUUCAAAAUCGCAACGUUAAGAGGAAAGGUAAGAAUAUUUUCAAUUCCCGAGACAACCCGGACCGUGAAUCUGAUUUUUAGUAAUUUUUUAGUGUGUUCACUGUGUAACGUUAUUAUAAGUACAAAAUGUUUCUCUUUGUAGCUUAAGAUAUGUAAUAAGUUGAAACAGGAAAGGAAUAUAUCUAUCAGAGAAUCACGAGUGUUGAAUUUUUUAUCAAAAAAAAAAGAUUAAAAAAAUAAAAGAAAGAAAGAAAGAAAGAAAAAGUGCAACAAAAGGCAAAAGGAACGUAACAGCGUGGAGAGAACGGCAACGGAGCAAAAAAAAAAGAAAAAGAAACACGUUACGCUGAUAAUUGAUUUAUGUUGUUGUUAAAUCGAGAGAGAAAGCCCCUAACAUGGAAUACAUUGUCAACACGUUUGAUGAAUAAGAGAUUCUUGAUUUGUAAAUAGAACAGUUUAUUUUCCGCAUUACCCCCUUAUAUUAUAUUUUUUCAUGUUCGCACGCCGAUAGGAAUUUUAUGUUUCUCGAUUUUCGACGACGGAACGAGCCUAACAGACGACGCUGAAGAUCUUCGAGUAACUGUUAAUAUGUUUGUACGUAUUGUCCAUUGAAAAAAAAAGAGAAAUGAAACGCUGAUUUAGUUUGAUCUAUGACCGAAGAGCAAAGAAAAACAAGAGAAAGGACAAAUAAAGCGUAGAAUGUAUAACAAAUAUACCAAAGAAAAUUGGGACACAUAAUGGCAGACCACAUGCAUCAGGGCGUGUACUACGCAAAAUUUCUCUGAGCACAGAGAAAUUGAAUAUUUUAUGCGAAGGUAAUGAUUAACGUUAAUCGAACGUGGUAAAAUUUAUGUAUAACAAGAAAAUGCAACACAUUCCCCAAGUUAUGUGCAAACAAGGAACAAAUGAUGAUACUGUGAGAAGUCUACAACUGGCAAUUGGAGCUCAAAUGCGUUAAAAUAAAUUAUAUAGCAUAAAUAAAAAUAAGCUAGAAAUAAUCAAUUAAAUUAAAUGUCAUCGAUCUCAGUAAUGCAGAUUCGUUGGGUUGAAUUGAAACUGCUUCCUCCCAUCGAUUGCCGAUUUAUAAAGCUCAUUUCGAAAGCACAUUCAAAGCAGAAUGAACAAUUAAAAUGUAUUACAUUAUUGCAAAGUGGAAUGUAGUAUUUAUUACAUUGUUGUGUAACAGAAUGUAACUAGUCAAAUGUAAAAGAAAUAAUGAAAUUGAUAAUAUUUUUAAUAAAAUGAUGUAUAGUCUGA